GACGAACGCUGGCGGCGUGCUUAACACAUGCAAGUCGAACGGAAAGGCCCUGCUUUUGUGGGGUGCUCGAGUGGCGAACGGGUGAGUAACACGUGAGUAACCUGCCCUUGACUUUGGGAUAACUUCAGGAAACUGGGGCUAAUACCGGAUAGGAGCUCCUGCUGCAUGGUGGGGGUUGGAAAGUUUCGGCGGUUGGGGAUGGACUCGCGGCUUAUCAGCUUGUUGGUGGGGUAGUGGCUUACCAAGGCUUUGACGGGUAGCCGGCCUGAGAGGGUGACCGGCACCAUUGUGACUGAGAUGCCGCCCAGGCUCCUACGGGAGGCAGCAGUGGGGAAUAUUGCACAAUUGGCGGAAGCCUGAUGCAGCAACGCCGCGUGCGGGAUGACGGCCUUCUGGUUGUAAUCCUCUUUCUCCUGUGACGAAGCGUGAGUGACGGUAAUGGGUAAAGAAGCACCGGCUAACUACGUG
rnacentral:rRNA from 1 species